UAGGGUUUGAUCAUGGCUCAGGACGAACGCUGGCGGCGUGCUUAACACAUGCAAGUCGAGCGAUGAAGCACCUUCGGGUGUGAAUUAGCGGCGAACGGGUGAGGAACACGUGAGAAAUCUGCCUUCAACACUGGGAUAACUCCGGGAAACCGGGGCUAAUACCGGAUAUGAAACCUGCGGGCAUCCGCGGGUUUGGAAAGUUUUUCGGUUGAAGAUGAUCUCGCGGCCUAUCAGCUUGUUGGUGAGGUAAUGGCUCACCAAGGCGACGACGGGUAGCCGGCCUGAGAGGGCGACCGGCCACACUGGGACUGAGACACGGCCCAGACUCCUACGGGAGGCAGCAGUGGGGAAUAUUGGGCAAUGGAGGAAACUCUGACCCAGCGACGCCGCGUGCGGGAUGAAGGCCUUCGGGUUGUAAACCGCUUUCAGCAGGGAAGAAGCGAAAGUGACGGUACCUGCAGAAGAAGCACCGGCUAACUAUGUGCCAGCCGCCGCGGUAAUAC
rnacentral:rRNA from 1 species